UUCCGACAAUUUUUCAUCUCAGGUUCCAUCAUUCUCUGUGGGGUGUUGUUGCAUUCAGGCUCUAGUCUACAAUCACAAGAAAUAAAUACAUUAGCCAACCAAUUAGUCAUGUAUUGCUAAAAAAGACCAAAAAUAAUGCAUUUACAACAACACAAAAAAAACAUGUUUUCUAGAAAUUUACAUGGGAAAAGUAAAUGACCCAGUGCUAGAUGUGUUGUCAUCAUUAGCCAAAACCUCAUCAGAUUCAUUUGUUGCUGAUAAAUUGAAUACAGUGUUGUCUUUCUUCAUUUCUUCAUCUUUGUUACUCUUACAAGGGAAUGAAAUUUGAAACUUCUCAUCUUUGUUACUCUCAGUAGAGGUUACUCCUUCCCCAAUAAUACUGGUAUCUUCAACAUGGGAAUUACUCUCCUUGUAAUGAUUUAGCAUUUGGGAAUCACAUUCUUUGUUGGUUUUCCCCAUAUACUCAUCCAUUUGGUUCUUCAAAUGAG
rnacentral:lncRNA from 1 species